GACGAACGCUGGCGGCGUGCUUAACACAUGCAAGUCGAACGGAAAGGCCCUGCUUUUGUGGGGUGCUCGAGUGGCGAACGGGUGAGUAACACGUGAGUAACCUGCCCUUGACUUUGGGAUAACUUCAGGAAACUGGGGCUAAUACCGGAUAGGAGCUCCUGCUGCAUGGUGGGGGUUGGAAAGUUUCGGCGGUUGGGGAUGGACUCGCGGCUUAUCAGCUUGUUGGUGGGGUAGUGGCGUACCAAGGCUUUGACGGGUAGCCGGCCUGAGAGGGUGACCGGCCACAUUGGGCCUGCGAUACGGCCCAGACUCCUACGGGAGGCAGCAGUGGGGAAUAUUGCACAAUGGGCGGAAGCCUGAUGCAGCAACGCCGCGUGCGGGAUGACGGCCUUCGGGUUGUAAACCGCUUUCGCCUGUGACGAAGCGUGAGUGACGGUAAUGGGUAAAGAAGCACCGGCUAACUACGUG
rnacentral:rRNA from 1 species